AAAUAACAACCCUUUAAAAAAAAAAUCACCCCACACAAGCCAUAAUGAUGAUGAUGAUGAUGACGGGAGGGGGGAAAUAAAUAAAUAAAAGCGAGCGAGAGUCGGCGACGGAGAGGGAGGCAGGUUCAAUUAUCUAAACAAAGAAAUCAUGGCGGAGUGUUUACACUCGGCAGCCCAAAGACUGUUGGAUUACGGACCCCCCCCCAAUCCCAACCGGCCCCCCCCGGCCCCCCGCAGUAGCGGCUUGCCGGAGCCCGCCCGCCGACACCUCGCCGCGGCCCGGAGUCUGAACCAGCUGCUUUGAAGAGAUCUUUCAAAUGAAUGGCUGAGCUGUGAAUUUCUAAGACUGUUGAUGAGAACAGAAGAAGGAACAGAUGGUGGCACCAUCCUGUCUCAGCACCAAAUACUGUCCUGGAGUUGUACAUGGCGCAAAAAGCAUCCCCGUGUGGAGAAGCAGAUAGUGUUCCUG